GUAAACUCACUGAGCAGGCCCUCAAUCCCUCUGUUACUGUGUCACUAUACCCCACUCCCUCUAACAUGUAAACUCACUGAGCAGGGCCUCAAUCCCUCUGUUACUGUCACUAUACCCCACUCCCUCUAACAUGUAAACUCACUGAGCAGGCCCUCAAUCCCUCUGUUACUGUGUCACUAUACCCCACUCCCUCUAACAUGUAAACUCACUGAGCAGGGCCUCAAUCCCUCUGUUACUGUGUCACUAUACCCCACUCCCUCUAACAUGUAAACUCACUGAGCAGGGCCCUCAAUCCCUCUGUUACUGUGUCACUAUACCCCACUCCCUCUAACAUGUAAACUCACUGAGCCAGGCCCUCAAUCCCUCUGUUACUGUGUCACUAUACCCCACUCCUCUAACAUGUAAACUCACUGAGCAGGCCCUCAAUCCCUC